GUUUAUAUAGUUUAUUUAAAAUAUUAAAUUGCAAAUUUAAAGAAAUUGUUAAUUAUAAAUU
rnacentral:tRNA from 1 species